GAUGCAGAACGUAGCGAAAUGCGAUACGUAAUGUGAAUUGCAAAUUCAGUGAAUCAUCGAGUCUUUGAACGCACAUUGCGCCCCCUGGUAUUCCGGGGGGCAUGCCUGUCCGAGCGUCAUUGCUGCCCUCAAGCACGGCUUGUGUGUUGGGCCCCGUCCUCCGAUCCCGGGGGACGGGCCCGAAAGGCAGCGGCGGCACCGCGUCCGGUCCUCGAGCGUAUGGGGCUUUGUCACCCGCUCUGUAGGCCCGGCCGGCGCUUGCCGAUCAACCCAAAUUUUUAUCCAGGUUGACCUCGGAUCAGGUAGGGAUACCCGCUGAACUUAAGCAUAUCAAUAAGCGGAGGA
rnacentral:misc_RNA from 1 species